rnacentral:sRNA from 1 species
UGGCAAUUACGCGCCGAGUGGCCAUAGA